UAUGUUUUUACUGGCUGUAUAUCUCUCUGGAACAUGCUAAUUAUCCGUAUAUAUAUGCAGCUAGAUAAGAUAAAGUCAGGCGGAAAUUCCAAGGAAUCGAUAGAUAUGCAGUAAAGAUUAGCUUUUUGAAAUUAUGUAACUAAGCAAAUUCAAACGGAUCUUAUCUCGAUGUAAACAUUGAAUGUGAAUAGAUCGAGAAGAGCGCAACUACAUGUACAAAAAUCGAGACGACCUUUUCUUAAAAUUGUAUAAAAAAUAGUAGAAAAAUACCUACUUUAAAAGAAUCUUUUAUGUUUCAACCUGCACAGACAGAAUUCUAAAUUGUUAUAUUGUAAUAUUUCUAUAUUGAAUGUACAUGUGACAAGAGCAGACCGGUUUACUCGAAAACUUAGAUGUGAAAAAUAAUUAUAAAAAGAAGAUGUGGUAUGAUUGCCAAUGACACAAGUCUCCACAAGAGACCAAAUAACACAGAAACUUACAAAUUUAGGUCACCAACAAUGAGCAAAGCCCAUGCCGCAUAGUCAGUUAUGAAGGCCCCGAAAUGACAAAUGUAAAACAAUUCAUACGAGAAAACUAACGGCCUAAUUUAUGUACAAAAUAAUGAACGAAAAACAAAUAUGUUACACAGCACCAAACGACAACCACUGAAUUAAAGGCUUUUUUUAUUAGAUUGCAUUCAAUGAUUUAUAACAAACUUUCUGUUAAGCAGGUCAACAAGAUUAAGUUGACGAUAUAAAAAAACAGAAACCGACCUCUGUUAUCAAUAUCUUUUUACUGUUAUCAAAAUUACAAAAUGUUAAGGAAGGUUUCUUCGUACAAAGGUUACUUGCGAAAUAACGAACAGGACACGUAUAAAAGGAGUUGGACAUAUUGCAACUCCCUCAAAGCUGCAGUGUUACAUACAUCAACAGUUUAUUAACCAGGUAAUUCCUUUUCGAUAUAUUGGGAACUAAAUCAGCCUAUUUAUCAAUCUGGAUUUUUAUUUUCCAAAGAACGUUUUUUUUUUUGUUUUGUUUUUUUUUUCUUAAUUCUUUUUUUAAAUGAUGAAAUUAAUGAACGUAAUUAUUCUAGUUUUCUUUUGAAUCAACCCGUGGUAAGGAAACUGCAAAAAAAACCCGUGUUCUUCGGUUUUCGAGUUGAAAGAUUAUAUUUCAAAAUUAUGAUAUAUACAAGAAGCAGUUAACAUUUUUGCUGUUAUUUUUUUACUUCUCAUCUGGUUUCGGUUUAUUUCUUUCAAAUAAAUUUUGUAUUUGUUUUCUUUUUAUUCAAAUUUCAAAUACUCUCAUUGUUGAUUUAAUCAAUUUUAUUAAAAUUAUUUCAAAAUUUGUUUUGUUAAUUUUUAAUUAUCAUUAUUAUUUAAAUAUUGAAUUAAUUUGUAUUGUACUAUUUGUAAAUAUGCGUUUAAUUUUAUAGAGGGGGAAACAUAAAAAUGGACAAGCUGUCAGUCGUAACUUUUAUUACCUGUCUUGUAUCUAUUAGUAUAGUUAUGCAAGGAGCUGACGCCCAGGAUUGUGCUUCUCCAAACAUAACCGCAUGCUCCACAAUCUAUACCGGCGCGGUAGCAGGGGCAGCAGGAGACAUAAAAAAAGCAUGUAGUGCAGCAAAUACCUAUCUAGAUUGUUUGAACAAAGUUGUCACUGACUGCAAAUUGGAAUCCGGCACUUCUGUUAUAAGCCAAACCAUUGCUGCUGCCAAACAGGCCCUUUCCCAGUAUGGAUGUGGAAGUGGAAAUGGAGCUGGAAGUCUUGUUUUUAACUUGGUUGCAAUGGUUUCAGGACUUACAAAUAUAUGCUGUUUUAGCUGAAAUACUUUAAUUUAUUUAUAUGAACAAAUCUACAUGUAAAAAUAUCUUUUCAUGACUUUCAUUUUAUAAGCUGUUUUAGAUGAAAUACACUAAUUUAUUUGUAUGAAAAAUCUACAUGUAAAAAUAUUUAUGAAUCUACGAACAAAAUGCAAUUUGGACA